UUUUUUAGUAUAAUUAGUAUAUUUAAUUUCCAAUUAAAUGGUUUGUAUAAAAAUUG
rnacentral:tRNA from 1 species